CUUCAUGUGAUUCUCUGUCAAAUCUUAAAACCCUAAUUUUUUCUUACCUCCCGCAAAUUCUAGCGUUCUCAAAUCGUUAGCUUUUACUUCUCUGGAGCUCUAGUUUUGUGUUAAAGAUAGGAAGACCUAAGAAGACCAGGGGGCAGGGGAAUGAAGAAGGAGAUGCGUCUCAAUGAAGUCGAGGAGAUCAAUCUUCUGAACCAGUGGAUCGAAUCCCAGAAACCUGAUUCAGGAUCAAAUCCACUUAACUUAAACAGCACCGAGAAUAUCUCUUCCUAAAGACGCCAAGAUUGGAAAGUUCGAAGACGGCAAAAACGGUACCGUUUUGUCGCGUUGCGCAGGCGUAAGGAAGUUUGCUCAGUUGCCGAUAUCGGAAAAGAGGGUUGAAAGAUGCGAAGUACGUCGAUAUGACUGAUGUACAGAGAGCUGCCAUACCUCAUGGAAGAGAUAUUCUCGGUGCUGCGAGAACUGGGUCUGGCAAAACUUUGGCUUUUGUUAUUCCGGUAUAUCUGAAUAACAUGCGGAGUGGUUCAAGGUUUUUAUCAUUUGACAGAUCUUGAUUGAGAUUGUUUACAAAAGGGACUUGAUAGCACAUGGCACAGAGACGCUGUAGUUUUUGUUCUUCAAAUAUAGGGUUCUUCCGAGUUGUGACUGUUCGAAAACGUGAGAAUGCAUCUAUCUCAAGCAUAAAAUUGAUGACAGUGUCUGUCUUGAUCAUAGCCUAGUGUUUUGAUUGCACUGUAUGUCCUGAAGCAAAUGUUAUUACUGCAUCAGUAUCACUCAUAGUUUGGUUAAGUGCAGGUUUUAGUUGUUAGAUUCAUAACGUUUUCGGUCGGGUAGUGGUUUGAGGUCUCACAAUGUCAGAUCCCAAAGAAAGUUGUUGGAAGGAAUGCAAAGUUGGAGAGGAAGAGAAGGGUGUGUUUAAGUGGGAACUUGUUACCGAAAAGAGAGGGAGUAAAGGGAGCCGUAAGCUGUGGGAAUGAAGCGUAUACAUUACGCGGGUUGUUCAUGAUGAUCGCUCGCUCUUGUAUGGGAGGGAAUGAUAACGAAACAACUAACGGGAUAAAGCUAUAUGUGACCAGAAUCCCACAUGUAUAAUUUUCACUCAAGGAUAAAUGGUCGAAAUUCACCAGUGAAUUUGAACUCAUGGCU